AGGUAUCCAUCCUCCUCCAGUUGCAUCAGCCCUGUCAGGACUCCAGCAACCAUGGAUAAUGAGAUUACCAAGCUCUUCUGGGAAGACAAUGUGUUCCAAUGAUGGCCCAUUCCACAUGCUUUCUUUAUAUGAGUGACACUCCUCUUUAACCACAAGAUGUGUGCCCUGAGCAACAGCAACCAUGCUGUGAAGAAGCACAAACCAGCCUAGACAGAUAGAUGACAUACACAGGCUCACAUGGAGUGGAACUGAGGUCCCCAGCCAGCAGCCAGCCUCAACCACCAGCCCAGUGAGUGAAUGAAGCUUCAAAUAAUUCUACCGCUCAGCCUUUGAUCCACUUCAGCUGUUGCAAUGUAGCGCUAAGACAAGUAUCCCCACUAAAUCCUGCCCAAAUUACAGAUUAAUGAGCCAAACA
rnacentral:antisense_RNA from 1 species